rnacentral:rRNA from 1 species
AGUGAACGCUGGCGGUAGGCCUAACACAUGCAAGUCGAACGGCAGCACAGUAAGAGCUUGCUCUUACGGGUGGCGAGUGGCGGACGGGUGAGGAAUACAUCGGAAUCUACUUUUUCGUGGGGGAUAACGUAGGGAAACUUACGCUAAUACCGCAUACGACCUUCGGGUGAAAGCAGGGGAUCUUCGGACCUUGCGCGAUUGAAUGAGCCGAUGUCGGAUUAGCUAGUUGGCGGGGUAAAGGCCCACCAAGGCGACGAUCCGUAGCUGGUCUGAGAGGAUGAUCAGCCACACUGGAACUGAGACACGGUCCAGACUCCUACGGGAGGCAGCAGUGGGGAAUAUUGGACAAUGGGCGCAAGCCUGAUCCAGCCAUACCGCGUGGGUGAAGAAGGCCUUCGGGUUGUAAAGCCCUUUUGUUGGGAAAGAAAAGCAGCAGGUUAAUACCCCGCUGUUCUGACGGGACCCAAAGAAUAAGCACCGGCUAACUUCG